UACGUAGGGAGCUAGCGUUGUCCGGAAUCAUUGGGCGUAAAGCGCGCGUAGGCGGCCCGGUAAGUCCGCUGUGAAAGUCAAAGGCUCAACCUUUGAAUGUCAGCGGAUACUGCCGGGCUAGAGUCCGGAAGAGGAGAGUGGAAUUCCCGGUGUAGCGGUGAAAUGCGCAGAUAUCGGGAAGAACACCCGUGGCGAAGGCGGCUCUCUGGGACGGUACUGACGCUGAGACGCGAAAGCGUGGGGAGCGAACAGG
rnacentral:rRNA from 1 species